UACGUAGGUGGCAAGCGUUGUCCGGAUUUACUGGGCGUAAAGGGCGUGCAGGCGGUUUGUUAAGUUCAGGGUGAAAGCUCCCGGCUCAACUGGGAGAGGUCCUUGGAUACUGGCAGACUUGAGGAGGGUAGAGGAGAGUGGAAUUCCCGGUGUAGUGGUGAUAUGCGUAGAUAUGCGGAGGAACACCGAUGGCGAAGGCAGCCUCCUGGGAUAACACUGACGCUCAUGCACGAAAGCGUGGGGAGCAAACAGG
rnacentral:rRNA from 1 species